AAGUCGUAACAAGGUUUCCGUAGGUGAACCUGCGGAAGGAUCAUUAACACGUAUCCAAACGUUAAAACCCCCCCCGUGAACCUUCAUCCUGCUCUUGUAACCCGCGUAGUUCGCAAUCUCUGAUAAAUCAUAGCCCGGAAAGUUGUAGUGAUUCAGAGACCUCUGGCUACGUGCGAACAUUGGAACAGUUACAAUCGAGCGGUAGUUCUAUAGGCAAUGUUUCCCCAAGCAGGAAUCGUAGAAGCGGUAUCCUGUAGACCGUACACUCGGGCAGGAGCUUUGCCAAAGGGUCCCCAUGCCCCCUAAUAACCCCACAGUUUAAUGUGAAGCUCAAUGUAAUACAUUGGGUAAAAAAACCGAACAACUGUUAACAAUGGAUCUCUUGGCUCUC
rnacentral:misc_RNA from 1 species